GACGAACGCUGGCGGCGUGCCUAACACAUGCAAGUCGAGCGAGAGACUUCGGUCUCUAGCGGCGGACGGGUGAGUAACACGUGGGUAACCUGCCUCAUAGAGGGGGAUAGCCUUCCGAAAGGAAGAUUAAUACCGCAUAACAUCAGAUUGUCGCAUGGCAGUUUGAUCAAAGGAGUAAUCCGCUAUGAGAUGGACCCGCGGCGCAUUAGCUAGUUGGUGAGGUAACGGCUCACCAAGGCCACGAUGCGUAGCCGACCUGAGAGGGUGAUCGGCCACAUUGGAACUGAGAUACGGUCCAGACUCCUACGGGAGGCAGCAGUGGGGAAUAUUGCACAAUGGGCGAAAGCCUGAUGCAGCAACGCCGCGUGAGUGAUGAAGGCCUUCGGGUUGUAAAGCUCUGUCUUUGGGGACGAUAAUGACGGUACCCAAGGAGGAAGCCACGGCUAACUACGUGCCAGCCGCCGCCGUAAUAC
rnacentral:rRNA from 1 species